GUAGUUUCAGGAUGGAAUCGUCGAUGAGAAAGCUCCUGCCAAGCCCGCAUCGCCGGACUGGGCUUCUCAAGGAUCAGCUCCAACUUGUGCCGAGAAAGGGCGAUGGCGGCCGCGAGGAUCGCUACGAGAUUGCGCCAAUCUCCGACCCCCUCUCCUUCGACAAGGGCUUCUUUCUCUUCAUCCGGGCGUGUCAGCUCCUCACGCGCAAGAUGGAAGGAGUGACAAUUGUGGUGGGAGUUGCCGGCCCCUCGGGCGCUGGUAAGACCGUCUUCACGGACAAGGUCGCGAGCUUCUUGCCCGGGAUUGCGAUCAUUUGCAUGGACAACUACAACGAUUCCAGCCUUGUCAUCGACGGGAACUACGAUGAUCCCAGGAUCGUGGACUACGAAAUUCUUCUAGACAACAUCAAGAGCUUGAGAGCUGGGAACUCUGCCGACAUUCCGAUAUAUGACUUCAAGCUCAGUCGUCGAGUUGGCUAUAGGCGUCUGGAGCAUCCAUCGACGAGAAUUGUGAUCGUGGAAGGGAUAUAUGCUUUGUGUGAGAAGCUACGUCCAUUCCUGGAUCUGCGUGUCUCUAUAACCGGAGGAGUCCAUUUUGAUCUCGUCAAGCGGGUUCUCCGUGAUAUCAAUCGCUCCGGCCAAGCUCCGGAAGACAUCAUCCACCAGAUAUCAGAAACGGUUUAUCCCAUGUACAAGGUGUUCAUAGAGCCGGAUCUAGCAACAGCACACAUCAAAAUACAAGGCAAAGAUCGAUCGCUCGUCGCGGAUAUCGGGAAGAAGCUGGGGCUCGAAGGCUCGUACAUUCCACGAUCUUAUAUAGAACAAAUACAACUGGAGAAACUCACUGCCGAAGUAGUGGCAUUGCCGGAGGACCUCAAGAACAAAUUAAGCCUGUAAACUACCACUGUUCCGGUAAGUCCAGUUUCAUCCAAAACUUAUAGCAGAAGCUUGAGCUGGAAUACCUCGAGGUUUGUCAUUUUGUUUUUCUUCCGAUCUCCAAAACACUCGAUUCACAGAGUUAAGUGUUUGAUUCGGUGGUGUCGCCCGACGGUCUCUACGCGCGCAACCGGGUGAUCGAGAUGUUUGGGCGCUCCGGUGAUUGACCGAUUGACGCGCAGGUGGUCUUCGAAUCGAUGCGUGCUAAGAACCUCUUCUCCUGGGUUCUCAUGAUCACGGCGUAUGCGAGGAGUGGUUGGCUCGAGAGCUCCAGAUCCAUCUUCGCAUGGAAUGCUAUCGUGGCGUCGUAUGCCUCGAAUGGGCAUCUGGAUGGUUCUUAGAGGCUUUUUAAUGAGAUGCCCGAGCAGAACUUGGUUUCCUGGACAUCGAUUCUUGUCACGUACUCGCAAAGCGGGUGUUACAACACGGCUAGGCGAGUGGUUGAUGAGAUGCCGCAGAGGAAUUUGAUCUCCUGGACCUCUAUGCUUGCAGCAAAUGCCGGGAGUGGGUAUCUGGCAGAAGCCGAAAGAAUAUUUAGUGCCAUGCCCCAGUUGGAUGUGA